rnacentral:rRNA from 1 species
GACGAACGCUGGCGGCGCGCUUAACACAUGCAAGUCGAACGGAAAGGCCUGCUUUCCCUUGUGGAUUGCGGGUACUCGAGUGGCGAACGGGUGAGUAACACGUGAGUGAUCUGCCCCCAACUUGGGUAUAAGCCUGGGAAACUGGGUCUAAUUCCCGAUAGGACUGCAGGGUGGUGCCUGUGGUGAAAAACGAUUUUCUAGUGGUUGGGGAUGAGCUCGCGGCCUAUCAGCUUGUUGGUGGGGUAAUGGCCUACCAAGGCGGCGACGGGUAGCCGGCCUGAGAGGGUGGACGGCCACAUUGGGACUGAGAUACGGCCCAGACUCCUACGGGAGGCAGCAGUGGGGAAUAUAGCACAAUGGGCGGAAGCCUGAUGCAGCGACGCCGCGUGGGGGAUGACGGCCUUCGGGUUGUAAACUCCUUUCGACCGCGAGGAAGCCACCUGGUUGGAAGGGUGGUGACGGUAGUGGUAGAAGAAGCACCGGCUAACUACGU